rnacentral:sRNA from 1 species
AGAUACCGAGACAUGUGACUAUGGCUGGCACAAAUUCCAAGGGCAGUGCUACAAAUACUUUGCCCAUCGACGCACAUGGGAUGCAGCUGAACGGGAAUGCCGUCUGCAGGGCGCCCAUCUCACAAGCAUCCUGUCUCACGAAGAACAAAUGUUUGUUAAUCGUGUGGGCCAUGAUUAUCAGUGGAUAGGCCUCAAUGACAAGAUGUUUGAGCAUGACUUCCGUUGGACUGAUGGCAGCACACUGCAAUAUGAGAAUUGGCGACCCAACCAGCCAGACAGCUUCUUUUCUGCUGGAGAAGACUGUGUUGUAAUCAUUUGGCAUGAGAAUGGCCAGUGGAAUGAUGUUCCCUGCAAUUACCAUCUCACCUAUACGUGCAAGAAAGGAACAGUUGCUUGCGGCCAGCCCCCUGUUGUAGAAAAUGCCAAGACCUUUGGAAAGAUGAAACCUCGUUAUGAAAUCAACUCCCUGAUUAGAUACCACUGCAAAGAUGGUUUCAUUCAACGUCACCUUCCAACUAUCCGGUGCUUAGGAAAUGGAAGAUGGGCUAUACCUAAAAUUACCUGCAUGAACCGUAAGUGGUCCUUUAGAAAGAAUGGACUACCGUGCUAUAGCAACUACUAGACACCUUCAUUUUACGGCUGUGGUAUCGGCAGUUUAGGGUAUGGAGCAAGUAAUAUUGUUGUGUUUUCUUUUUUUCUUUCUUUCCUUCCAUGUAGCAUCUGCAUACCAAAGGACUUAUUCUAUGAAAUACUUUAAAAAUUCCUCAUCAGCAAAGGACAAUUCAAUAAAUACAUCCAAACAUGAUCAUCG